rnacentral:rRNA from 1 species
CAGCAGCCACGGUAAUACGGAGGGUGCAAGCGUUAAUCGGAAUUACUGGGCGUAAAGCGCACGCAGGCGGUCUGACAAGUCAGAUGUGAAAUCCCCGGGCUUAACCUGGGAACUGCAUUUGAAACUGUCAGGCUGGAGUCUUGUAGAGGGGGGUGGAAUUCCAGGUGUAGCGGUGAAAUGCGUAGAGAUCUGGAGGAAUACCGGUGGCGAAGGCGGCCCCCUGGACAAAGACUGACGCUCAGGUGCGAAAGCGUGGGGAGCAAACAGGAUUAGAUACCCGCGUAGUCCCUGUCUCUUAUAC